rnacentral:rRNA from 1 species
UACGUAGGGUGCAAGCGUUAAUCGGAAUCACUGGGCGUAAAGGGUGCGUAGGCGGGUUUUUAAGUCAGAGGUGAAAUCCUGGAGCUCAACUCCAGAACUGCCUUUGAUACUGAGAAUCUUGAGUUCGGGAGAGGUGAGUGGAACUGCGAGUGUAGAGGUGAAAUUCGUAGAUAUUCGCAAGAACACCAGUGGCGAAGGCGGCUCACUGGCCCGAUACUGACGCUGAGGCACGAAAGCGUGGGGAGCAAACAGG